GCCAGCAGCUAGCUCUCUGCAACUCUCACAUUCUCGCCCAUUGAGGCUAAGCAGGGCUGCAGACAGUCAGUACCUGGAUGGGAGACCACAUGGGAAAGCUAGGUUGCUGCCA
rnacentral:rRNA from 1 species